rnacentral:tRNA from 3 species
GUCCCGUUCGUCUAGAGGCCUAGGACACUGCCCUCUCACGGCGGCAACACGGGUUCGAAUCCCGUACGGGACGCCA